rnacentral:rRNA from 1 species
UUCGCAAUGCCCGAAAGGGUGACGAAGCGACGCCGCGUGGGUGAGGAAGGCCUUCGGGUUGUAAAGCCCUGUCAGGAGUUAAGAAAUGUAAGUGCGCUAAUAUCGCAUUUAUUUGACGAAGGCUCCAAAGGAAGUCACGGCUAACUCUGUGCCAGCAGCCGCGGUAAUACAGAGGUGGCAAGCGUUGUUCGGAAUUAUUGGGCGUAAAGAGCACGUAGGUGGGUUUGUAAGUCAGAUGUGAAAGCCUCCUGUUCAACGGAAGAAUUGCAUCUGAAACUGCGAGUCUUGAGUGUAGGAGGGGAGAAUGGAACUUCUGGUGGAGCGGUGAAAUGCGUAGAUAUCAGAAGGAACGCCGGCGGCGAAAGCGAUUCUCUGGCCUAUUACUGACACUCAGUGUGCGAAAGCUAGGGGAGCAAACGGGAUUAGAUACCCCGGUAGUCCCAGCCGUAAACGAUGGGCACUAAGUAGAGGGGUUUU